UACGAAGGGGGCGAGCGUUGUUCGGAUUCAUUGGGCGUAAAGGGUGCGUAGGCGGCGCGGUAAGUCGGGUGUGAAAUCUUGGAGCUUAACUCCGAAACUGCACUCGAUACUGCUUUGCUUGAGGACUGGAGAGGAGAUUGGAAUUCACGGUGUAGCAGUGAAAUGCGUAGAUAUCGUGAGGAAGACCAGUGGCGAAGGCGGAUCUCUGGACAGUUCCUGACGCUGAGACGCGAAGGCCAGGGGAGCAAACGGG
rnacentral:rRNA from 1 species